CCUACGGGAGACAGCAGUGAGGAAUAUUGGUCAAUGGGCGCUAGCCUGAACCAGCCAAGUAGCGUGAAGGAUGACUUCCCUAUGUGUUGUAAACUUCUUUUAUAUGGGAGUAAAGUGCGGUAUGUAUACUGCUUUGCAUGUACCUUAUGAAUAAGGAUCGGCUAACUCCGUGCCAGCAGCCGCGGUAAUACGGAGGAGCCGAGCGUUAUCCGGAUUUAUUGGGUUUAAAGGGAGCGUAGGCGGGUUGUUAAGUCAGUUGUGAAAGUUUGCGGAUCAACCGUGAAAUUGCAGUUGAUACUGGCAUACUUGAGAACAGGAGAGGUAGGCGGAAUGCGUGGUGUAGCGGUGAAAUGCUUAGAUAUCACGAAGAACUCCGAUUGCGAAGGCAGCCUGCUGGACUGUAACUGACGCGGAGGCUCGAAAGUGUGGGUAUCAAACAGGAUUAGAUACCCUGGUAGUC
rnacentral:rRNA from 1 species